CUCUCUCCCCUCUCUCCCUCCCUCUCUCUCUCCUGUCUCUGCUCUCUCUUCCCUCCUAGCUCGUGCUUCUGUAUCCCUGAGCCUGCUGCCAUUGCCAGUUGCUAUCAGAACAUCUGCAAAGCUGAGUCCGUCCUCCCCAAAGGCCACAUCUGCACCAGGGUUUGCCUGCAGCACCUGUGAUCUGUCUCCUGCUGGACGCUGAGACCCCCCAGUGUCGCCUCUGGGAGCUGUGUGGGACCCUGCACACUAGAUGGAGCCUCUGCUGCCUGCCAGCAUGGGGGGACCUGCUUCUCAAGCCCGACCCCAUUCAUCGUCAGCCACGUACUGGGUGCCCGUGACGGUCUGACGCUGACGCCUGAUUCUGCUUUCUGCCACGUGGCAUUCGCGGCCGUCGCCACAGCCAUCAGGUCUGUGGAGCCACGCGCAGGUGCGCAUUCCUGGGAGUGGGCGCAAAACCUCAGAUGGGAGAGCAGAGGCUGCAGGGCAGGUAACGUGCUCCCCUCUGUGACCUGGGCAGACGCCUGCACACCCGUCCUACCUGCGGGCACUGAGCACUCACCCAGACCUGUGGCUGUGCCCUCCACGUUUGUCAUCCAGGCCCAGCUCCCCCUGCCUGCCCAGUCUCAAACCGGAGCCCUAGCCCGGUCCCAGAUCGUGGGGUGCUGCCCUGGGGUCCCCCAUCAACACAGGAUAACACCACCAGCGCCAAGCACCCCUGAGCAAUCUGCCCUGAGCAACUUGCCCUAUCACUGUUUCAGUGACUCAGAGCCCCGUUCUAGAUGCCCAGGCACCUGCCAGCUUCAUUGCUGGAGUGAAACUGGGGGUGACGGGGCUGCCAUAAAAGAUGACAGUGGGACCACGUUGAGGUCACCUAGUGUUUCUUCUUCAGGUCUCCAUGACUGAACUCACUGGGCUGCCCUAGGACCACUGCAGUCAAGACCAUCCUCUGCAGAGUGUGGGGCCUGCGUUCCUCUGCCUGUGCCUCAUUCAGGCUUCAAGAUUGGAUUCCUUUAAAAGGCAAAGACUGUAGCUCCUUUCUCUUCAAAUCCUCCUAGUGUCUGGCUGAAAGUCUUGCCCCUUAGGAGGGAAAAAUGGCUUUUGGAAGUGGAUUAGGAAAUGAGAGCAUGGAUGUCGGACAACGGGCUCGGAUCUGCAGGUCCUCAGUUUCAUAAUCCGUCAGCUAAGGUUGUGGCACCUGUGCCCACAGCACAUAUGCUGCUCGCAGAUUCGGAUACACGUGUGGGUGUGUGCUGUGUGGACGGCGGUGGGAUCCAUGUACCUCAGGCGGUGCUGCCCUGGAAAGCUCAAGACUGGCACAGACUGUCACCACGAGCUGAGACCCAGCCUGCUGGUCGCAGAGGAGGAGUGGAGGGGUCAGCUGGGAGCCUUCUAGUUUCCCUGGAGCGAGGGCCUGAAGGACGCAGGUCUCCAUCUCAGUGUGUGUAAAGUCGGGGGCACACCUCUGCCCAGGGGUCUCUAGGGGUGAUGAGGAGGGGCCAUGCCUGUUUCUGUCCCUGGUGCUCAAUCCAAGAGCUCUGUCUCUGAGGAUGGAGCAUCACAUCAACCCCUGGUUAAAGCAGCCCAGAGGCUGGGACCUCGGCCCCCCAGGCUGGUGCCUCUGCCUUAGCUCAGCCCUCAACAGGCCACAGCCACUCCCCAAGGCCGGCACUCCCCAGUCAGGGACACUUGCCCACUCGUGAGGCCACCACCCACCUCCUGUCCAUAAGACAGGCACAUUGUUCCAAGGCAGGCGGGCCUCGGGGUCUGUGUGGAUCAGGCCUGAUAGAAACGUCUAUGCCAAAAUGUGUAUGACUGUAAUCUCUGGUGCUGGUGAUUUCAAUUUUGUUUUCUUAAUUUACAUUAUCUCAUUUUUUUCCAUUAGAUGUUCUCUAUUGAAUUGCAACCUUGACAUGAAUAUUAAAAUAAUUUUUAAAAUAAACCUGGCUGUUGAAAUGAGGCAGCAAAAGCACGCUGAAAGCAGGCAGUGAGCACGGGCUGUACAGGAAGCAUGGCGGCAUCUGAUUCUAGGGCCAUCAGCAGUUCAGAGAGGUGACAUUACUUUCAGACUGGCCCAAAGCUGGUAAGUAGCAGAGACUGGCUGAGGGAAGAAGAGCCAGAUGUCUACCCUUGAUGCCAAGUCCUGCCCACACUGGCCUCACAUCCAGCUCCCUGGGUCCUCAGGGAAUUCAGCCCCCAGAGGCCCUGCCCACCAGAUGCAGCCAAAGCAAAGGGCAGCCCCACCCAUGUGGCUCCUCACUGGGCUGCUGGUCAUGUAGGACUCUCUGUAUAGUUUAGGGUAGAGCUGGCCUCAUGGAAUGAUUUAGGAAGUAUCCCCUCUGCUCUCAUCCUCUGAAAGAGAUUGUAGAGAAUCGAUAUGAUUUCUUUCUUAAAUGUUUGGUGGAAUUCACCAGUG